rnacentral:snoRNA from 1 species
UCCCAUGAUGGCAUGUAAUCUUUGAGACCUGAUUGUCUGAUGAUGUAACUACAAGCAUCUCUGCUGAGGAC